UGGGGAAUAUUGGGCAAUGGGGGAAACCCUGACCCAGCGACGCCGCGUGGGUGAUGAAGGCCUUCGGGUCGUAAAGCCCUGUCGGGAGGAACGAAUGCUCUCACGGUAAAUAGCCCUGAGAGGUGACGGUACCUCCGAAGGAAGCACCGGCCAACUCCGUGCCAGCAGCCGCGGUAAGACGGAGGGUGCAAGCGUUGCUCGGAAUCACUGGGCGUAAAGGGUGCGUAGGCGGUCUCUCAAGUCUGGCGUGAAAGCCCAAGGCUCAGCCUUGGAAGUGCGCUAGAAACUGAGAGGCUUGAGUGCCGGAGGGGAGAGUGGAAUUCCCGGUGUAGCGGUGAAAUGCGUAGAUAUCGGGAGGAAUACCGGUGGCGAAAGCGACUCUCUGGACGGCAACUGACGCUGAGGCACGAAAGCGUGGGGAGCAAACAGGAUUAGAUACCCCUGUAGUCC
rnacentral:rRNA from 1 species